rnacentral:lncRNA from 1 species
GUAACAAUAUCUUCCCCCUUUUGCCCCCUGAAAAGAUAGAGAAAGAGUCGGCUGCAAAAAUUAGAAUAACACCAUAAGGUGAAGAGAAGUUACCUUGUAAGUGUGGUAGGUGUGGAUAUAAAGGACAUUAUCAACUAACUUACAGUGCACUAAUUCCACUAUCUAACAAUGAGCAUGUGGUUGGACUGAAUAAAACAGGCAAACAUGUAUGAUAUACUCAACAUUAAAUACUUGUCCUUUUUAUUGUCUUAAUUUCUUUAAUAUCUAUAACUAUUAGUUGACAGGUUGAUACUUUCUUAUUUUGCAGUUGGAUAAGCUGGUUUGUUUGGCUUAUUUUGUUCUCAAAGGGAGGUGACCAAGGGUUUAUAAUAGAUGAGCCGAAUGUUUGGAGUCAAUUAAUAGUAUUUCAAACCAAGACGAAGCAAAAAGUUAUAUCUACUUGGGUAUUUUAUCCUCUGCAUUAAACCCAAACCAAAUUAGCUUUGAUGAUUAAGUAGCAGCAACUUAUGAUCUUUUAAAACUUAUUUAUGAUUCUUGCAUGAAUUGGACUUAUGUUGUUUGUGUUAACAUGAAUAUGUUAAUAAUAUUGAUUUUGAUGAUAACAAACUUUAAAUGGUUUUUAAUUAAAAUGUUAGAGCUAUUCCUUAAUAAACGAAAGCCUUAUAAUCAUUUCAAUUAUAUUCAUAAAAGAUGGAUCACUGUUAAAUUUCAAAUUGGAAAAUGAUUCUCUGCGAAAUCUGGCUUAAACUGUGAUUCUGAAAGAUUGUACCUGGAAACAAACGGCAAAAGUUUAAUUGAAACUGAUAAGGCUAACUUGUUUUGCAGGUUACUGGAAACAAACGGUGAACCAUUAAUUAUAAACAGCUAACCGAUAAAUUCCAGAAAGGUUAUUUCGUAUAAAUCUUUAACCGUGUAGUAUGAACUAAUAACUGAAGUUUAUCUUGCAGGUCUCUAAAAUUUAACGGCUAACGGGUAAGCUUAAACGGCAAACUGUUUAUUUGAAAUUUGACCCAACGGUAACUUUUGACCAGACUAAACGGUUAACUGUUAAUGGCUAACAGCGAACCGUUUUUUAGCAGACAGUCUAUAACGGCUAGUUUUUCAGCUCCAACUAUAAAUAAGUUCAUUCAAAUUCAAACAAGACUUGAUCACAACAUGACCAUUGAGCUUAUAUUCGAGAAUACAAUCUUCAUAGAGCUUUAAAGCACAUUAUUGCUUCAUCUAUUCACACAUUGGGCAUUGAUUUGUAAUCUUAAAUAUUGUGUGAGAGAAAAAUAAUUUUUAAUCUUUUACUUUGAGUGAUUGUAAGUGUUGGGAUACACUUGAGUUAAGAGAUUGAGGAUAAUCUCUUAUUGUAAAGGUUCAUUGACACCUUGGAAGUCAAGUGUAAGCAUUUGAAGCCUUGGAGGCUUCCUUACUGAAAUCCUCAAGCCUGAAAAGCUUGGAGGAGUGGACGUAGGUGAGGUUGGCCGAACCACGUAAAAAUCUUCGUGUUUGAAUCGCUCUUCCCUUAUAUUUUUAUAUUGUAAUUGAUUUAAUUGUUAUUCCAUUAAAUUCAUUUUAGAUUUGCUUGAUAAUUUGUUUUAGAAUCAAAUAAUUUUUAGAAUCCCAAUUCACCCCCCCUCUUGGGUUGCACACUUGUAUUUCAUUUGGUAUCAGAGCUUGGUUCUCUUGUUAGGACUUAACCGUCUAGAGUAAAAGAUCCAUGGCAACCCAAAAUGACUAAACCUUUAGGGAAGGACAGUCCACAACUAGACCACCAUUCUUUGACAGAAAUGACUACCCAUAUUGGAAAACUAGGAUGAGAAUUUAUUUACAAGCACUAGAUUAUGAAAUUUGGGAAGUUGUAUGUGAUGAUUUUUUUUUGCCCCUAACUAAAAAUGAAGUCGGGGAAGAUAUUCCAAAACCUUCAAGGGAAUGGAAUGAAUUGGAAAAGAAAAAAGCUUAUCUAAAUUCCAAAGCUAUGAAUACUUUAUUUUGUGCACUUGAUAAGAAAAAAUUUCAUCGAGUAUCUAGUUGUGAAAGUGCCAAUGAAAUUUGGCACAAACUUGAAGUAUUCUAUGAAGGCACAAAUCAAGUGAAAGAGUAAAAAAUUAGUAGGUACACUCGACAAUAUGAGUUGUUCCAAAUGGAACAAAAUGAGAGUGUGUACUCUAUGUAUACUAGAUUUACGGACAUAGUAAACAUCCUAGGAGCCCUAGGAAAGACCUUGUCAAAUAGCCAGAAAGUUAAGAAAAUUAUUAGGUCACUUCCAAAAGAAUGGAGACCUAAAAGAACCGCUAUUGAAGAGGCUAACGAUUUAAAUACAUUACCACUUGAUGAUUUAAUUGGUUCUCUCAUUUCAUAUGAAGAAGAUUUGGCAGCAGAAAAAUGGCAUGAGGAGAAGAAGAAAAGCAUUGCUCUCAAAGCUUCAAAAUAUGAGAGUGAUGGGGAGAGUGAACUGGAUGAUGAAGAGCUGGCCAUGCUAGCAAGGAGGCUCAGAAAAUUCUUCAAGAAAACUGGAGAGCGAAGAAAUUUCAGAAACUUUAAAAACCAAAGGGAGAAGAAAGAGGUAAUCACAUGCUAUGAAUGCAAGAAGCAUGACCAUAUAAGAUCGGAGUGGCCACUUAUCAACAAACUCAAGAAGAAAGCCAUGGUUGCAACUUGGGAUGAUAGCGAGGAAGAUUCAAGUGAUGAAGAAGGGUCGCAAGAAGUAUCAAACCUGGCGCUUAUGGCAAUAGGAGGGGAUGAUGAUAUCAAUGAGGUAAGUGAUUCCACGUAUGAUGCUUUUAAAGAAUUGCAUGAUGAGUUGAUGAAGAUUGGUAAAAAGAAUAUAUGUCUUAAAAAAGAAAUGGCAAAGCUUAAAAAUGAAAAUGGAUCUCUAAAUGCAAGAAUUACAUGCCUAGAAGUAGAGAACAAAACAUUGCAUGAUGAAAUUUCAUUAUCAAAUGAGAAACCUAGCAUUUCACAUGAGCAUUUAGAAUCACAUAUAGAUGAUUUGAAAAAUGAAAACGAAAUGCUUAAGAAAAAGAGCAAUGAGUUGAAUGAGAUUGUUUUGAAAUUUACAAAUGGGUAAAAAAUGUUGGAUAACAUGCUUAAUUCACAAAAAUGUGUGUUUGACAAAGGAGGUAUUGGUUAUAAGCCAAACUUGAAACAAAAAUAUUAUAAAAACUACUUUGUGAAGAGUACAUCUAGUCACAAUCAAAUUGUAUGUCAUUUUUGUAAUCAAGAUGGUCAUAUGAAAAAUAGAUGUCCAGUAAAAAGAAAUGCAUAUUAUGGUAUGAAAUGCAUUUAGGUUCCAAAAGGAAUCACUACUAACUCUCAAGGACCCAAAAAGCUUUGGGUACCUAAAACUUGAGAUUUUCUUUGAAGGGCUUGAAGAAGAAGAAAAAUAAAUGGUACUUGGACAGUGGUUGUUCAAGGCACAUGAUCGGAAACUACGCAUGGUUCUCAAGCUUCACCAAAAUUGAAAAUGGUGGAGACGUAUCUUUUGGAGACAACUCAAAAGGAAAAAUUCUUGGAAUUGAAAAUGUUGGUAAAGUUUCCUCAACUCUAAUUGAGAAUGUAUGUUUGGUUGAGAACUUGAAACACAACUUAAUUAGUAUUAGUCAAUUAUGUGACAAAGGUUAUAAAAUUAUCUUUGAUAAAUUUGGUUGUGUUAUUGAGAAUUCAUGUGAUGGCAAGAUCUUAUUUGUUGGGAAUAGAUGUGGUAAUGUUUAUAUCAUUGACAUAGAAUGUGCAUCUACUCUUGAUAAAUGUUUUUCGGCAUUGCAUGAUGAUAAUUGGUUAUGGCAUAGAAGGUUAGAACAUGCAAGUAUGAAUUUGAUUUCGAAAAUUUCAAAAGAUGAUUUAGUUAAAGGUCUUCCAAAAAUUGGUUUUAAAAAAGAUAAGAUUUGUGAAGCUUAUCAAUUUGGAAAACAAAUCAAAACAUUGUUCAAAAAUAAAAAUCAUAUUUCUACUUCAAAACCACUUCAACUUCUUCACAUAAAUUUAUUUGGGCCCUCUAGAUAUGCUAGUCUAAAUGGCAAAUAUUAUGCAUUUGUGAUAGUGGAUGAUUAUUCUAGAUAUCUAUGGGUAUUAUUCUUAGCUAAUAAGGAUGAUGUUAUUGAUGCCUUUAAAGUGCUUUGUAAGAAAAUUCAAAAUGAAAAAGAGUAUGGUAUUGCAUGCAUUAGGAGUGAUCAUGGAGGAGAGUUUGAAAAUCAUGCAUUUGAGAGUUUUUGUAAUGAUUUUGGUAUUGAGCAUCAAUUUUCAUCACCUAGAACUCCACAACAAAAUGGAGUUGUUGAGAGAAAGAAUACAUCCAUUCAAGAAAUGGCUAGGAUUAUGUUGAAUGAAAAUUCAUUGCCUAAGUAUUUUUGGGCCGAGGCCGUCAACACCGCUUGUUAUAUUUUAAAUCGUGUGUUGAUUAGACCUAACCUUAACAAAAUUCCUUAUGAGCUUUGGAAAAAUAGAAAACCCAAUAUUGGUUAUUUCAAAUUUUUUGGAUGCAAAUGUUUUAUUUUAAACACAAAAGAUAAUCUUGGUAAAUUUGAUUCAAAAUCCGAUGUGGGUAUUUUUCUUGGAUAUUCAAACUCAAGCAAAGCUUAUAGAGUUUAUAACAAAAGAACUCUAGUUGUAGAAGAAUCGAUGCAUGUUACUUUUAAUGAAUCUAAUCCCUCCUCUACGGAGAAAGUUGUUGUUGAUAAUGAUGUAGAUGAAGACUUACAAAAAGAAUCAUCAAAAGAUAAUAAAAAAGAUGCGUCUCGUGGGAAUCAAGAUGAGCAACAUGAAGAAAUGAAUGUAGAGCAAAAUGAAGGUACUUCUCAAUCAUUCCCCAAAGAGUGGAGGUAUGUUUCUUCUCAUCCUAAGGAUGUAAUUUUAGGAGAUCCCUUACGAGGUGUUACAACUAGAUCAUCACUUAGGAAUAUUUGUGAGCAUAAUGCAUUUAUUUCUCAAAUUGAACCCAAAUCCUUUGUGGAUGCGGAAAAUGAUGAAUCUUGGAUUAUGGCAAUGAAAGAGGAGUUAAAUCAAUUUGAAAGAAACAAUGUGUGGGAAUUAGUUCCUAAACCGGAAUAUCAAUCCGUCAUAGGUACUAAAUGGGUAUUUAGAAAUAAGAUGGAUGAAUCCAGUGUGGUUGUAAGGAAUAAAGCUAGAUUAGUGGCUCAAUGUUACAACCAAGAAGAAGGAAUUGAUUUUGAUGAAACUUUUGCACCCGUAGCUAGACUAGAAUUAAUUAGAAUGUUGCUGGCAUUUGCAUGCCAUAAAGAUUUCAUUUUAUUUCAAAUGGAUGUGAAAAGUGCUUUCUUAAAUGGUUAUAUUAUGGAAGAAGUGUAUGUAAAACAACCUCCUGGUUUUGAAAAUGAAAAAUUUCCAAAUCAUGUUUAGAAGUUGUUUAAAGCUUUGUAUGGAUUAAAACAAGUACCUAGAGCAUGGUAUGAUAGGCUUAAGAAUUUCUUAUUAGAAAAUGAUUUUGCCAUGGGUAAAGCGGAUACUACUCUUUUUGUUAAGCAUAAGAACAAAGACAUACUUGUUGUUCAAAUCUAUGUUGAUGAUAUUAUUUUUUGUUCUACUAAUGAAUUGUUGUGUAAAGAAUUUUCAUCUUGUAUGAGUAAUGAAUUUGAAAUGAGUAUGAUGGGAGAGUUGAAGUACUUCAUUGGGCUGCAAAUAAAACCAAAUGAGGAAGGAAUUUUUAUAAAUCAAGUAAAGUAUGUGAAAGAUCUACUCAAGAGGUUCGGCAUUGAUGAAUCAAAGACCAAAAACACUCUAAUGAGCACAACAACCAAACUUGACAAAGAUGAAAAAGGCAAAGAAGUGGAUAUCAAAAUGUAUCGAGGUAUGAUCGGAUCUUUACUUUAUUUAACUGCAAGUAGACCCGAUAUCAUGUUUAGUGUAUGUUUGUUCGUAAGAUUUCAAUCAUUUCCCAAGGAAUCUCAUUUGCUUGCUACUAAAAGAAUUUUCCGUUAUUUGAGUGGAACCAUAGAUAUUGGCCUUUAGUAUCCUAGGGGAACUCAUAUAGAUUUAACAUGCUAUUUGGAUGCGGACUUUGCCGGUUAUAAAGUUGAUAGGAAAAGCACAGUGGAACUUGCCAUAUCCUAGGUCACUCACUUGUUUCAUGGUUUAGCAAGAAACAAAAUUCUGGUGCACUCUCAACUACCGAGGCUGAAUAUAUAGCUGCAGGAAGUUGUUGUGCACAAGCUCUUUAGAUGAAACAAACACUUAGAGACUAUGGUAUUAACCUAGGACAAAUUCCUAUUAAGUGUGAUAAUACUAGUGCUAUAAAUCUUUCAAAGAAUCUCAUUCAACACUCUCAAACGAAGCAUAUAGAAAUAAGACGUCAUUUCUUGAGAGAUCAUGUUCAAAAGGGGGAUAUUACAUUAGAGUUUAUUUCUACAGAAAAAUAACUCGCCGAUAUUUUUACCAAACCUCUUGGCGAAGAACAAUUUUUAAAAAUUCGGCAUAAACUUGGGAUGAUGAAAUUUUCACAUUAACGUCUCUAUUCAUGUUAUUGAGUGUAUUGAAUUAAUUGACUUAUUGGUGAUUUGAUGAUUUAAUAUUUAUGAAAUGCUUAAGCUUGAUAUUCAAGUGAUGUGUUUGCUUUGUUAAUUCUUGAAUGAUUAUAUGAAUUAAUUGCUUGAAUAUAUGUUCAUGAAUCAUGCAUUAAAAUGGCUAAUAAAACAUUUUUAGAUCAAUUAAAUGAUCUUGGAAUGUAUUAUUUGUUGGCCGAAAAUUAAAUCAAAUGUGCGAAAUUAUAUAUAAAAUAAACGGAUAACCGUUUCCAAUAAACGGUGAACCGUUUUAUUCCAGAAACUAGAUUAUGAUGUUUGUCUUUUUACCCUUUCACCGUUUGAUGUAAUCGGUAAACUGUUUAAAAACAGAGAGCUCACUAGAAGUUACUCCUUAGCCGUUAAGUGAUUAACCUUUCACCGUUUCCCAUUCCUUAGCCUCUGGAAGUUACCCCUUAACCGUUUAAAUAAACGGGUAACCGUUUUCGUGCAUAUAAAACUGUUCAAAGGUUUUUCUUCUCAUUCUUCAGUUGCCCUCUCACCGUUUCAGCCAUUGUUGCACAGCCGAAGCAUUCUCUGCCCUCAAACCUUCAUUGUUCUUGCUUUUCUUGCCAAAUCAAACCUAUAACAUCAUUUCUUAUCACUUUUAGAACACUUUCACCGAUUUAAAUCUUCAAAUCAAGCCUAAAAUCGAAAAAUCUCAAAUCCAAACCCUUAGUGCAGUCGUUCGGGUUUCUUCAUUUUUCACCUGAUUCUUGUCCUUCUUCAACCAAAUUGAGCCUCAAAAUCACAUUCUUUACUCAUUCCUAAACAAAUAAUUGGUUCAUCUUCUUCUCCUCACAUCUCUCUUAAAUUUUUCAAACUUCCUCAUUCUUCACCAUGGCUGAGCCCCCACGGAGAAAUCUCAGGAGGAAGUCUGCACCUCAAAGGAAUCCUAUACCACCACGGAGAGUCUUUGAAUUCGAAAGAAUUCAUUUCCCCAUGCCUUCCUUGGAGAAGCGUUUCGAGGACCGCUUUAAUGGUAGAAAGGUACUUGACUAUUUCUAUGUUGAAUUAGAUGUUUUCAGUACCUUAGUUGUAUGUGGUAGAAGCAUUAGGGAUAUGCUUCAACCUUGGGAGUCUGCCAUUGACUUUGAUGACCGAGUUUAUCCCAAUUUAGUGCGAGUCUUUUAUUCGAACAUGGAAAUCUCCGCAACUUGCCUAGAUAGGAUAAUUACUCAAGUCGGCGGGGUGCCUAUAGAAUUUGAUGAUGAGGACCUCAAUGGCUUUCUAGGUAUUUCUAGUGAGGGACAUGAAAUUUAUACCUCUAGGAAAGCCCUUUCCUUUGACGACUUUUGUCAUGUUGAUGGAGUCCGAAAUAUUUGUCGUUGUCGAGACUUGACUAAUGAGAUCUCUAAUCUACCUUUUCGGUCUCAGCUCUUACCUCUCCAAGUCCGCAUACUUCAUACUAUUUUACAGUAUAUAGUGACACCUAGGAAGGGUCACUCGAAUGAGGAUACGAGGUUAGACGUUGGUCUAUUAGAUAGUCUCAUUUCAGGACGUCCCAUUAACCUCGGCUAUGUUAUUGUGAGGCACAUGUUGAGUACUCCCGCGGUUAACCAUUGCUUGCUUCCAUAUGGCAGUAUCAUUACUAAGAUAAUGCGUUGCUUUGAGGUGCCUCUUCUCGAUGCCGGUUAUAUGGAGACUAAACAGAUUGGUCCAGAGGCCAUGACUAGUAUCAUUUUUUCUAGAAAGAAUGGUCAGUGGAUUAAGACUAAAAACUCUAAAAACCGGGAUACAUUGAUUGCUCCAGAGGAUGAUCGGAUGCUCAAUGCUGUUUAUCCUCCCUAUUAGCUUCCAGAUUUUCGAUUAGGAGCUCAUCCACCUCCUCCGCGUUGCCGUUCUGUCCCCCAGUCUCCAGUUGACUCUGACUCUGAGGAGCAUGAGAUGGAUGCUGAUAUUCCAUUCACUUCGAUGCCACCUUCAGCUCCAGCACAGCCUUCCGCUCCCGAGCCAUCUGCUGUUCCGAGCAGCCCUCCAUUUCUAAGCCACCUCCAGCUCCAGUGCAGCCUCCUGCUUCGGUUCAGCCCCCUGCUUCGGAUGUUUUGCAGCAGUUGGUUGCUGAUGUUUGCAGGAUUUCGGAGCAGCAGCAGCUGAUUAUCGAUCGGUUGGACACUUUCUCCCGUGACCACCAGCAGCUAUGUUCUGACUUUCAGACCUUCCAGCAACAGAGCAUUGAUCAGCAGCUUGAGCUUAUCACUGGACAGCCCACUCUUUUUCGCUUUUUCCGUUAUGAUCCGGGGAGCACAUCUUCUCCACCUCCAUAGUUUCUGAGUUUCAUUUUCGCACAUACAUUUCAUAUUUUGUUCAUUUGUGUGUUGCUAUUUAUAUUUUUGCAUACCUUCUUACCUCUAUACGAUUUUGAUAGAUUUUGAUGAAAUGUUUUUGUGACUUGGUAUUGGCUGAUUUGAUAUUGGUUGGAGUUGUUGGUUUGUUGGAUGAUGGAGUUGUUGUUAAUACAUUUUGGAAGUGUUUUUAAUCUCAUUUUGUAUUAGUGGAUUUGUUCCAUUUUAAAGGGAAACUCUGCCAAAUUUUUCGCUCGCCAAAACUGGGUAACUUCUUUCUCACCUCUAUGCUUUCGGAUUUUUUUUCUCUCUCUUUUCUUUUUGAUGAUAAAGGAGGAGAUAAUUAUGGGGAGAUUUGAAAUGAAUUUUUUUAAAAAAAUGUUUCCUUGAGCAAAAAUCAGUUUAUUGGACAUUUUUUUAAUUUGGCCAUACAUUAGGGGGAGCAUAUCUUAAGGGGGAGUAAAAUAUUGAAUGAAGUUUGUCAUCAUAAAAAAUGGGGAGAUUGUUAACAUGAAUAUGUUAAUAAUAUUGAUUUUGAUGAUAAUAAACUUUAAAUGGUUUUGAUUAAAAUGUUGGAGCUAUUCCUUAAUAAACAAAAGCCUUAUAAUCAUUCCAAUUAUAUUCAUAAAAGAUGGAUCACUGUUAAAUUUCAAAUUGGAAAAUGAUUCUCUGCGAAAUCUGGCUUAAACUGUGAUUCUGGAAAUAAACGGUGAACCGUUUUCUUUUUAAACGGUGAACCGUUUUCCUUUUAAACGGUUAACCGAUUAAAACCAGAGAGUAUCAAACUGCUUAAGCUUUAGCCGGUUAAGAAAAACAGAAAAUACAAAAAGCUGGGAAGGCCACUGGAAUUAAACCGUGAAUCGUUUAUUGAAACGGUUAACCGAUAAAAUCCAGAAUGAAAGAUUGUACCUGGAAACAAACGGCAAAAGUUUAAUUGAAACAGAUAAGGCUAACUUGUUUUGCAGGUUACUGGAAACAAACGGCGAACCGUUAAUUAUAAACGGCUAACCGAUAAAUUCCAGAAAGGUUAUUUCGUAUAAAUCUUUAACCGUGUAGUAUGAACUAAUAACUGAAGUUUAUCUUGCAGGUCUCUGGAAUUUAACGGCUAAUGGGUAAGGUUAAACGGCAAAUCGUUUAUUUGAAAUUUGGCCCAAUGAUAACUUUUGACCAGACUAAACGGUUAACCGUUAAUGGCUAACGGCGAACUGUUUUCGAGCAGACAGUCUAUAACGGCUAGUUUUUCAACUCCAACUAUAAAUAAGCUCAUUCAAAUUAAAACAAGACUUGAUCACAACACGACCAUUGAGCUUAUAUUCGAGAAUACAAUCUUCAUAGAGCUUUAAAACACAUUAUUGCUUCAUCUAUUCACACAUUGGGCAUUGAUUUGUAAUCUUAAAUAUUGUGUGAGAGAAAAAUAAUUUUUAAUUUUUUACUUUGAGUGAUUGUAAGUGUUGGGAUACACUUGGGUUAAGAGAUUGGGGAUAAUCUCUUGUUGUAAAGGUUCAUUGACACCUUGGAAGUCAAGUGUAAGCAUUUGAAGCCUUGGAGGCUUGCUUAGUGAAAUCCUCAAGCUUGGAAAGCUUGGAGGAGUGGACGUAGGCGAGGUUGGCCAAACCACGCACAAAUCUUCGUGUUUGAAUCUCUCUUCCCUUAUAUUUUUAUAUUGUAAUUGAUUUAAUUGUUAUUCCAUUAAAUUCAUUUUAGAUUUGCUUGAUAAUUUGUUUUAGAAUCAAAUAAUUUUUAGAAUCUCAAUUCACCCCCCCUCUUGGGUUGCACACUUGUAUUUCAAUUUGAUGUUAAAAAAAAAAUUUGUUUGAUGUAUUGAAGUUUAAUAUGUUAAAUCUUAUGUCAAUUAUACUAUCAUUCUAAUGAGUGUUUUAGGUAGUUUUGUUCACCGUCCACUUACUCGACUAUAGUCAUGUACUUGUAAACUUAUCCGACAACAACAAUUUUUAUAUAAAGUUACACGACUGCUGAAUGUUAUUUUUAGGGGUGAGCAUUAUACGGUUCCAGAAUCGAACAAGACUGAACAGUUUAGAAGAAAUAAAAUCGACCUUGAACUGAACUUCAAAACCGAACCGAACUUCAAAACCAAACCGAACCAAAAUACUUCGGUUCGAUUUGGUUCGAUUUGAUUCGAUUUGUUAGAUUCUAAACAAUUUUUGAAUGUUACAAUAUUUAAAAUGAAAAAAUCAAUUCAAAUUCAAUUUAUUUUCACAAGAACAAUUGAAGCAUAACAACAUAUUAUAACUUUAUUUUUGUUUUUUUUUCUACCUAGCAAUAUUUAUUUACAAUUGUAGAAUUCUAACUAAUGGAAGUAUAAACAAUAAAUUAUGUGACUAGUAAUCCAUUUCAAUAUUUCAUUGUCAAAGAUGACUUUCACCAAACAAAAACAUGAUCUUAAAUAAUAUAACAAAAUAAAAAUAGUAAUUUCACAUACAUUUUAUUAAGAGUAUUUUUCCCAAUCAAACAUUAAAUUAUCAAUUACAAAUAACAAAAAUCAAUCCAACCCAUGCGUGAUCAAACCAAACCAAGCAGAUCAUAAUUUAACAAAAAUCAAAUUAAAUCGGUUUUCAACUCACUUUUUAUUUAUAAAAAUCAAACUUAAUCAAAAAAUAAAUGGAGUGAAAUUGAAUAAAAUUAAAUUAAAUUAAAAUUGACAAUAAUUGCUGACUUGCAACUAAUAGUGAGUGGAAUUGAACCAGUGUUGCUCACCUCCACUGGAGCGACAUCAACAACGGAGAGAGGCUACAACAGCUGGCAAAGAUGAGUGAUGGGUGCUGACGAAGAUGAGUAAUGGGUGCUGAGCAGCGAUUCUAACCAAAGAGAGUAGAAUCGUGAGUGAUAAGAGUGAGACGAGCAACAAAGAUAACGACAAACGAGCAGCAGUUCGAACCAUAGAGAGUGAGACCGUGAGUGAAUCCGAGAGUGAGAUCGUGGCUCUGUGAGAGGUUAACAUGUGUGAAGGAUGAGUAUAUGACGACAUCAAACCAUCGGCGUCACCGUGAGAGGCUAUGAGGGAGAGAGGCUGAUAUGCUGCCACUAACCAUGAGACUUGAGCGAGAGAGAGAGAGAGAGAUGUUGAAUUGCUACUGAUUUGGG